UUUUUUUUUUUUUUUUUUUUUUUUUUUUUUUGCUUUUUAGGGCCAUACCUGUGACAUAUGUAAGUUCCCAGGCUAGGGGUUGAAUCAGAGCUACAGCUCUCCCAGUGCACACCACAACCACAGCAAUGCAGGAUUCAAGCCAAGUCUGUGACCUACACCACAGCUCACGGCAACAAUGGAUCCUUAACCCACUGAGUGAGGCCAGGGAUCGAGCCCGAAAACUCAUGGAUACUAGGUGGAUUUGUUUUUGCUGUACCACGACAGGAACUCCGUCACGUUGACUCUUGAUAAGAGUGCCAAGACCAUUCAAUGUGGAGGGAAAGAAGUGUCUUUUAAAACACAUGAUGCCGGGACAAGUGGCUCCAUGGGCAAAACAAUGGAGUCUGAUCCCAUCUUUACACCAUGUACAAAAAUUAUGUCAAAAUGGACCAAGGCCUAAGUGAAGAGCUAAAACGAUAACACUCUCAGAGGAAGGGUCUUAAAUCUUUGUGUCCUUGGGUUACGGAAAAGAUUCUUAGACAUCACACCAAAAGCAUUUGAAACCAAAGAAACAGAUAAACCACACGUCUUCAAAAUUAAAAACGCUCUCACACUGAAGGACACCGUCACCAAAAGGAAACGACGAACUCAGGGUGGGAGAAGAUAUUUGCAAAUCAUGUAUCUGAUAAGGGUCUUGUGCCCAGAAAAUAGAAAGAACUCUCAGAACUGAAAGAUAAAAUAACCACCCAAUGUAAAAACAGGCUGAGGAUGUGAACAGACCUUCCUCGAAGAAGAUACACAAAAAAAGCCAACAAGUACAUGAGAAGAGGUGCGGCAUCAUUAGCCACUGGGGGAAAGACAAGUAAAACCACAAUGAGAUGCUGCUUCACGGCUCCAGAUGACCUCGACGGGGAGAAUGAGGCAGGGCCCAGCACGUCCCCUCUCAGGCGUACCCCCCACCCCCGGAGAACUGAAAGCAAACGCCCCCACAGAACCUCUACUCGAUUCCUAGCAGCCCCAAAGGAGAAACAACCCAAAUGUCUUCAAUGGAUGAAGCGACACACAGCAUGUGGUCCAUCCGUCCGAGGGGCUAUUACUCGGCCGUAAAAAUGAAUGAAGCACAGAUACGCGUCACAAGACGGUUGAACCUUGAGCGUGUUACGCUAAGAGAAAGAGAAGCCAGACACAAAAGGCCACAUGUUGUAAAGUCUGAAUGACUCCAUUUACAUGAAAUGUCACGAAAAGGCAAACCUAGAGAAACCCGCAGAGAGAGAGAGAGCAGAUGGCUGGUUUCUAGGGGUUAAGUGUAGGAAGAGGGGGCACCCUAGCUGCGAGCCCCACCCUUUGUCUCACUAUCUGUGCCCAUCUCUUUCGGACGUGUGAUCCAAGACUUGGCUCAGGUGACACGUGCCCUCCAAGACGGCCUCUCUGCGCAUCCACCACCCCAGGACUCCUCUCUCUCUGCACCCGAUCCACAGCACUGCGGCGGCCUGAACACGUAAUGCUUUCCCCUGUGAGACGGGUACACAGAGCAGCAGGGCUGGGUCCCCACGGCUCCAUCCCUGGCACUGAGCUCAGUUCGGCCCUGCUAGUGUGCAGAGGUUAGAGAGAAUGAAUGAAUGAGGGAGAGAAUAAAUGGAGAGUAGGAAAGGAAGAACAGAAGAGGAAAAGAGAAAGAAGGAAGGAAGAGAGGGAGGGAGGGGAGAGGGAGCGAGCGAGCAGGCAGGUGGCCGGCAGGCAGGCACAGGACGAGAGGAAAGGAGAAGGCCAUCCGUCACACUGGCUGUGGCUGUGGUGAAGCAGCAGAAGACUGCAGUCCCAUUUUACAACAAACUGGCCUUUGGGGUCGUGCUGUGUGCCUGCGUCUCACCCUCGGCUGGAACGCACAGUCUUUCAGAAUCGCAGGCCUGAUGCCCUCCUUUUGCCCAGAGACAUCGCCCAGGCCUAACUGGAACUCUCAAGUUCGCCGACGAGGGAAAUACGGCUCCAGAUGUUAAAGGGCACAGCCAAGGUCGCGGCCCUGGCACAAAGCACCCUGGGGUGAUGGCCAUGUCACCACAGGCCGGGGCCCUGGAGGCCAGCAUCGCCCUUCUGGGUACAACUGGGGCUCAGAGAAGCCGCCCAGCCACCCCGCAUCUGGAGCCCCGCCGGCGUCUGGAGCAGUCGGGGCGCGAACACCUGUCUCAGCCACACAGGCGGCUUCCUGGACGGGCAUCUGGCAGGAGGCAAGCAGCCAGGGGCCGCUCCCACUCCACCAGCAGCACACACCUUACUUGGAGCUGUCACGUCUCCUUGGGCUAAAAACGGUGCCAUGUUCCAGCUGCCUUGGCUCCUUCCCUCUCUCCACACGGAACUGUCUGUCUGUGAGCCCUUCUCCCGCUGCCCUGUGCCCGUGCCACUGUGGGGCCCGAGCAGAGCACCCAGUGCUAUAGGGCAUCCCUGGAAAACGGCUUUCUCCUCCGGGAAAGCAAUGUCACAGAUGAUACAUCUCGAUAUAAAGCUCUGGGGUCCGGUGUGGUCCUGAUAGAGGCCUGGGUCCCCCUUCUUGUCCCAACCUAGCAACUGCCCUAGGAACAAGGCAGAUCUGAGGCCCAGAGACCAGCAGGAGGCCCUUGACUAAGCAUGUCCUCCCCAUGUGGCACCGGCUCCUGGCAGAACCAGGGGAUGCACCCUCCACUGCCCUGGCCGAGCCUCCAGGGAGCAAAGUAAAAUAAAUCUGUGCUGGGGACCCACUCGUGGAUCCACUCCACUCCUGGAUGCACUUCUGGAUGCAGCUACUGGGGACAAUCAUUUUAACAAAGGGGGAAUAUGGAUUGAAAUUAGGGUUUGCUCAACUGUGCCCAUGUGGCAGAUGCCCACAGGAAUGCAUACAAAUGGAAGGAAGCAAAGCCUCACUCAACAUCUCUCUGGCAGGUUGUCAGAGUCCCCGCAGGGGCGCAGUCCCCAAGACAGGCACAGAGAAGGGUGGGUCCGGCUUUAGAUGAGCAAGUCAAUCCCCAGCCACCUCCCUGCCUCUCUUCAAUGUAAUAAAUGCCACUGUUUUCCAAGCUGGAGAGAGGACAGCUCAGGAUUUUAAGAGACAAAUACAAGGGGCAACGAGCUCCUUGCAAAGGCCCUUCAUUCUCUACAUGGGCCAAGGCCAGGGAGUCACCGCAGUUGUCACUCAAGCUGGUCUCAAGGCAGAGAAGCCACAUGCUCUUUGCGGAACCUUGCAUCGUCCACGUACAGCUCUGGGGUCCUCGACCCUCCCCUGGGCCAGAAGGAGGGCUGACUGGCUUGAGGUCAGGCUCCUCGGGUGCAGCCCAGCCAAGCCCAGCCUCCCUGACCCCCAAAGACUUGCCCCUGCUCCGCUCCUUUUUAUACCCAACAUAAUUGACAGCAGGAGCCCCCAGGGAGGGCUCCCUUCUCCUGGAACCACAAGGAGCUGACUCUAUUCCCUGACAGAGAAUCACAAAGUGGCAGCUGGAAGGCAUGGCCCUGGCACAAUGGAAGUGUCCCCUGGAGAGCAUGCUGCUCUGGCCCCUCCUUACAGGUGAACUUGAAGGUUCGCUCAGGAGCAAAUGGCAUCAUGGCCUCUGGGGGUCCAGGGCGGCAGGUCCAAGUAUGCAGAUGCAGGCAGCACUGUCACGGGGCGGAGCCCAAGACGACCUGGAGCACUCCGAGGGUCACCACAGGCCCCGGGGGGCUGGGGGCACUUCCGGGUACACUGCUGUCACUCUGAGAAUCGGCACAGGGGAGGGAUGAACAAAGGGCAACAGCAGCCCCCCUUUCCAGCCACCAAACACCUGCCCCCCGCCUCGGGGCCAGAUCUCUGACCUUGGGGCUCCCUGACCAGUCACUCCCUACGUCGGGUAAAUAGAGAAAUGAACACAGUUACUGAGCGCUGACUAUGCUGCAGAAGCUCUGCUUAAUGCUCACGUCAGCCUCCGAAGGUGUUCCUGGUACCAGCUCCACUUUAUAGACAAGGAAACAGAGGCCUGGGGAGCCUAGACAAGCUGCCCAAGGCCAGGGGGGUGGUGUCUGACCCCAGAACCCACACCCUUGCUGCCCCAGCAUCUCGAGGGCCAUGAAACCAAAGGCACCUGGGAAACUCACCCAUUACCCCGGACCAGGGAGGGAGUCCGGGAGGUGUUAAAAAGGAUUUAGACCUUGAGGGUCUCAAAAUAGGGGGCAGAGGACACACCCUCCGGCAUGCAAGGCAAGCGCAGGAAACGAACAUCAGAAAUGCAGACAACUCUGGCUGGAAUGAGGGGUUCAAAGAGGGUGGUGGACGGGAGUUGGUGAAUCUCUGCUUCUGUAACAUAUGUUCUGGGAUCUGGUAGCGCUUUCAUGCAAACACCAGAAAGCUGAGUGGGGCCUUUGAUCUCUACAAAUCUCAUUAUUUUCCAGUUAGAAGACCGACUAAAGAGAGCACUCCAAUUAGUGGACAUUAAAGCCGAGGAAGGGGGCUGGCUACGCAGAUGACUCCUUCCCCUCAACACUCCCCUCCCUCUCAUGUGUCUUGUAACCGACCAAAGCUGCCAGGACAGUGGCUAAGCACGCUGCGAUGACUGUGAUUACCCAGGCGGAUGGGGGGCCGGGGAAGCAGAGCCCUGCCACAGCCCUAGAGGAGUGGACAAACCCGCUUCUCAGAGCAGCACGGCUGCAUGGUGGUCCCUCCUCUGGGAACCACCUCAGCCCCACCCGUGCUGGAGGCCCUGCCAAAGACCCACCUUGACCCACACCUGCCCCUGAGAAGCGGCCCCAGGCCCAGCCAAUCCCACUAUCCUGUGCCCCGUGUUCCUGGGUUGCUCAAGGUCACCCAAGGAGCCUUCCCUACAAGUAACACACAGUCACAGCACUGCAGAGAGCUCUCUGCCCACCGGCCUUGGUCCCCUGGAAGAAUGCAGACCAUACAAGCAGCAGGAGGAGAUACACGGCAAAGGGACCAGCUUCCUGGCCUCAAGGAUGGCACUCCUGCUGUCACCCUGGCUUCUGUGAGUUUCCAUGGUGUUCUUCUGACUGUGUGAGCUAACGGCUCUCAUCCACCUUUUUUUAAAAAAACAUUUAAACUAACCAAGCUCCUGCCAUCGGCCUGUGAAGGAUCCAGACCCAGACUGCCCUGUACUUGGACUUGAUGGGUCAGAUGGAGGGUCUGACUCUGGGUUAUACCUCGUGAGCUGCAGCUGUGAGCACUGCCAUGCUGCUGGACACACGUGCUGUCUCAUGGCUCCUAUUUGGGCCCUACCCUCCACUGUGGAUGCCAUCCCAAGGUCAGGGUGACCUUCGCCUCAUCAACCUCCCAGCAGCCCAAGCAUCUCUUCUCCAGAAGGGGUCUUUGCUGAACUCUUGCCUACCCGGGCCUGAGCGAAGUGCCCACACCCUGGACCGCACAGGGCACGACAUUGAUGGCGUUUACCCCCCAAAUGCAUCUGCUUCCUCCACCAGACCCUAAGGUUCCCUGGGGACAAGGGUCCUGGCUUAGAACAUAAAGACCUAGGAAGCGCUCUAAGUACCAGCACCCAUGUGUUGGAUCAGUGAAUGGGGAGGAUGGAUUCACGCAGCCGGGGUUGCCAAGAAGCUCGGGACUCGAACCCACGCCAAUGACGAGGAAAGGCCUUCCUGGGUGACCCAUCAAGGCAGCUCUGGCUGAACACGCCCCAGUCGCCAGCACCACAGCAUCCGUCUUAUUUGCUUCCCAGCACUAAGUAAGUGCAGAAUAAAACCACAGUACGUGCUUAUCCGCCCAUGGCGCCUCUGCACUAGAAUGUACACCCUGUGGGAACAGGGAUCACAUCUGUUUUAGCUCUUUAGUACAACCCCAGGGCACAGAAAAAAGGCUGGCACAGAAGGUGUCCAGUAAAUAUUUGUUGGUGGGUUCCUUGGUUGGCUGAAAGAGUGAAUGAGCGAACUUCCAGAAAGAAGCCCAUGAGCCAUCCAGCCUGCACUGCAAGCCUUACCUCAUCUCCCGGUGCCAGCGAAGGGCUCAGGUGACAGUUCAGAACACAGGGGCCACCAGAGCAUCCUCCCUGAAUUCUUAACAUUUUGAAGCAGAAAAUGUUUACUUUGUCAUUUCUUGAUGUUGAUCGAAUCGGAGAAAAAUGAGAGAAGAUUUUACGUAACACAGAUGGGCUCGUUUUCUGAAACUUUUUGCCAAAGGUCAGAAUUUUUUUCCCCUCCAGAGGGAAGGAGUAUUUCGCUUUCUGAUGCGCUCCGCCAAAGCUGGCUUCUUCAUUCCACAUGGAGCCGGAGAGCAGCGUUGUUCACGCUGAGGAUCCAUAAGAGAAAUGUGAGAACUAAAGGAAGGCCCGGCCCCGAGGAGGAAAGAGAGAGAAGGAUUGCAGGCUCCCUCCUCCUCCCAGCGCCCCUCGGCUCAGUGGCUGGGGUGAUGCUGUCUGGGUCUGCAUGGAUGUGGCACUGCCUGGGGGGCCUGGUCACUCCCCCGACAACCCCUUCUCCCCACCACCUCCCCAGCUCCCAGGCUGCUCUCCUCUCUGGGCCCAGGAGCCAGCAGGACCCUCUGCCUCUCUGCCUUGCCCAGCUCGUCCCAGUACAGCAUUAGAGACUGCUUCAGGCAUCCCUUCCUCCUGGAACCUUCCAUGACCGCCCACCCCCACUGGCAAAGAGAGUGAGGGUCUCUCCUCAUUCCCCCGUAGCAGCUUCUAUAGCACUCCUUACGGCGCUGACAACGAGGAUGGCAGGAGUCAGAGAGUAACGGCCACAUGCCAAGUACGAACUAUAUGCAGCCCAGACGCCAUCUGAAGGGCUGUACGUGUGAUCUCAUUUCAUUUAUGUAUUUACUUAUUUGCUUUUUAGGGCCACACCUGUGUCACAUGGAGGUUCCCAGGCUAGGGGUUGAAUUGGAGCUAUCUAUAGCUGCUGGUCUACACCACAGCCACAGCAACUUGGGAUCUGACCUGCAUCUGCGACCUACUCCACAGCUUGUGGCAACCCCGGAUCCUUAACCCACCGAGGGAGGCCAGGGAUUGAACCGGCAUCCUCAUGGAUCCUAGUGGGGUUCUUAACCCACUGAGCCACAACGAGAACUCCCAAACUCCCCAAAUUUUUAACAUGAUGCAGUUUAUUCUUUAUUGGAAUGGUCAAAGACAUUAAAUCCCUAGGGUAGACUACCAUGCAGCUAUGAAAGAUGGUUUUGACGAAGUGCAGAGUGACAUGGGAAAAAUUAAAUUAAAAGCAAGAUACAAGUACAUUCAUGGGAUGAUUCCACCUAGAGGAAAAAAAUGCACAGAGAAAAGGCUAGAAGGCGGUAUUAACUGCAACUGUAUCUAUGCAGUGGGACUGAGCCAUUUGUUUUCCUUCGUUCUAACUUUCCUUUAUUUUCCAAAUUUUCUAUAAUGAACACGUACUACUUUUAGCAUUUUUUGAAGCUGUUUUUUUUUUUUUUUCUUUUCCUUAAAGCAACUGGCUAUUAUGAACGAGAGCUGAGUCCGAGCUUAUUUUAAUCCUUAGAAUGGACGCCAUUCUGAGUUCUGAUUAAGGGUAAUUCAAGCCUUUGAAAUGUCCAAAUUGUCUCUGUUGAUUUUGGGAGGCGAAUAAUUGCAUUUUAUACUAAACUUAUUUGCAGCUCCAAUACAGCUCAAAACCCUGUUUUGAUUGCUUGUUUAGCGAACGAGUAACAUCAGAAAAUGGGUAAGAAUCACAUUUGCAUGAUGGGUGAUGAGGCAGGGAAUUACAGUUGGGGGUAAAAAGAAAUGGGGGGAAAAGAAAACUCCUGAAUAUUCAACAGCACAUCCUGAAUGCAGGGCCUUCUCCUGCAUUCACAGUCACACCCAACACAUUUCCUUUCCCCUCUGUGGAAUCUCCUGCAUCCCUCAAAGGCAAAAGGAGCACUUGGUGAAUAAAGCUGGGGUCCACGCGUUUCAUCGAGGUUGCUAUCCUUUUUUCUCUUUGGCUGAACCAACAGCACGUGGAAGUUCCUGGGCCAGGAAUCAAACCGACACAGCAGUGACCUGAGCCAGGUCCUUAACCCGAUGUGCUACCAGGGAACUCAUCUGAUUUUCUUUAAGCAAACAGCCUGGGAGCUUGCCCUCAGAAUGGGUCUCCUUUCUGCCUCCAAGAGAGCUGGCUUCUUCAAUCUCCACAUCAUUUUCAGCACAAGGGAACCCUGAUGCUCGUGGUCGACAAGACACUGAGGAGGACCCCUGGGCUCUCUUCCCUGGGACCGCCCCUGGGGUUCUGGCCUUUCCUGAUCACAGUCUGGGGGUCUACGGCACUUUUUUUUUGUCUUUUUGCCAUUUCUUGGGCCACUCCCUUGAUAUAUGGAGGUUCCCAGGCUAGGGGUCAAAUCAGAGCUGUAGCCACCGGCCUACACCACAGCCACAGCAACGCAGGAUCUGAGCCACGACUGCAACCUGCACCACAGCUCACGGCAACACCGGAUCCUUAACCCACUGAGCAAGGCCAGGGAUUGAACCCGCAACCUCAUGGUUCCUAGUCGGAUUCGUUAACCACUGAGCCACUUUUAAAAAAAAAAAAAAAAAAAAAAAAAA
ensembl:lncRNA